rnacentral:rRNA from 1 species
CGCUGGCGGCGUGCCUCAGACAUGCAAGUCNAACGAUUAAAGCUCUCUUCGGAGAGUGCWUACGAGUGGCGCACGGGUGAGUAACACGUAAGUAAUCUACCUUCGAGUGGGGAAUAACAGUCGGAAACGGCUGCUAAUACCGCAUAAUGCAGCGGCAUCGCAAGAUGACAGUUGUUAAAGAUUUAUCGCUUGAAGAGGAGCUUGCGGCAGAUUAGCUAGUUGGUAAGGUAAUGGCUUACCAAGGCUACGAUCUGUAACCGGUCUAAGAGGACGGUCGGUCACACUGACACUGAAUAACGGGUCAGACUCCUACGGGAGGCAGCAGUCGGGAAUUUUGGGCAAUGGGCGAAAGCCUGACCCAGCAACGCCGCGUGAAGGAUGAAGUAUUUCGGUAUGUAAACUUCGAAAGAAUAGGAAGAAUUAAUGACGGUACUAUUUAUAAGGUCCGGCUAACUACGUGCCAGCAGCCGCGGUAAUACGUAGGGACCAAGCGUUGUUCGGAUUUACUGGGCGUAAAGGGCGCGUAGGCGGCAUGACAAGUCACUUGUGAAAUCUCCGGGCUUAACUCGGAACGGCCAAGUGAUACUGUCACGCUAGAGUGCGGAAGGGGCAAUCAGAAUUCUUGGUGU